UUCCUCCAUAGCUCAGCUGGUUAGAGCAUCUGACUGUUAAUCAGAGGGUCCUUGGUUCAAGUCCAAGUGGAGGAGCCCA
rnacentral:tRNA from 1 species